GUGAAUCAUCGAAUUUUUGAACGCAAAUUGCACUCUCCUCUGUGAGAAUGCCUGUUUGAGGUUCAGCCUAUAAAAAAUCUACAUCAUUGCUUUUUCGCUGUGGCGUUCGUCGGGAAUUGGGUGAACUUAAAUCCUUUUGAUGUAAGCGCCUUAAAAUUUUCUUUUGGUUCCAUGAACGUUUCUAAGAUCUAUUUCUUUACACGUUUAAGGUAUCGAUUUUUACUAGACGUCACCAUCAUAUCGUAUCGCGUCCAUAAUCUUUCAUGCACUGAC
rnacentral:misc_RNA from 1 species